UAAAACCAAGGAUCGAUAAAUAUCGUUCCCGGGCAACUUUUCACGUUUGUGUGUAAGAUUUCCAAAAUGUCCGAUGCUUUUACAACUAUGGAUCAACAAAUGUAAUAUUACAAAUCAAGUAGACUUAACACAACAUUAGAUAUGCUCAUUUAAUUUUGAGCCUAAAUGUUUUAAAUUCAAUACGAAGAGAAGGUUACUUCACCCGGAUGCUGUAUCAACUAUUUUUGAAAAAAAAUAUAUGAAAAAACAAUAUUUCCAAUCAAAAUUGUGUGAAGAAUGAAUAUGAUUCUGAAGCAGCUAAAAUAGAAUAAAUGAAAAAAUUCGACAAAUAUAUGAUGAAUAACUUUUGAAUGGAAAUGGAAUAAUUGCUCGUUUUUCGUAUGAUUAAAUAUAAAACGUAUAGUAGACGCAUGUAACUCAAAUCAUUCAUACUCGAAGGCAAAUGCUACUAUUUCUUUGGUUACGUUUAUGUUGAUAUAUAUCACUGUUAGCAAAGAUUUAUGUAAAUUGCCCAUUCUUGGCAUAUUAUAUAAACCAUUAUCAGUUAAGUAAACAUAAAAAACCUUUUUUUUUAAAUUUAAACAUUAAUUUUUAUUAUAUAAAUUUAAAUAUUAUAUGUAU